rnacentral:rRNA from 1 species
UACGUAGGGGGCAAGCGUUGUCCGGAAUCAUUGGGCGUAAAGCGCACGUAGGCGGUUCGUUAUGUCGGAUGUGAAAGCCCUUGGCUUAACCGAGGAAGUGCAUCCGAAACUGGCGAGCUAGAGUACGAAAGAGGAUCGCGGAAUUCCCGGUGUAGAGGUGAAAUUCGUAGAUAUCGGGAGGAACACCAGUGGCGAAGGCGGCGACCUGGACGGACACUGACGCUGAGACGCGAAAGCGUGGGGAGCAAACAGG